rnacentral:lncRNA from 10 species
UUUUCUUUAAAAUAUAUUUUAUUUCACAUCCUCUUUUUAGGUGGACAAGCAAGGCUCUCAGUCAUUACCAUUCUCUGUGGAGAGCUAGGGCUGUGAAGAGGCUGAGCUGUCUUCUUCCUCUCACCAUCACAUCCUCCCCACUGGCUAGCUGCAGUUUUGGUUCCCUUUGGGAAUGGGGCCAUGUGGAAAGAUAUGGGUUUGUGGAAAGGCCAUAAGUCACCAGCUCCAUGAAGUGGCAACCUGGUCCUUGCUUUGGAAAAUCCUCCAGAAUCACCCACUACUGUGAAGACUGCCCUUGGAUUACUUUGAGCAAGAUGUUGUAUUUCACUGCCCUAACCUAUUUCCUUUUGCAAAUGAUUAUGAAUCUCUUGGCUUUCCUCUUGACCUGGCCUUUGCUACCCUUAUUAGCAGAAGAGUUUCCUGCUAUAGCAUCUCUCUAUCUGGAAUAGCCUCUUCUGUAUGUUUUUAUUUUAUGAGCCUAUAUCUUAUCUUUCCUGAAAGUGUACAUUUUCUUCCUUUCCCUUAGCUCUUCAUUUUUUCUUUCAUUCUGCAGAAAAGGGCAGGGCAAUUUGUGUGCCAUUUUCAUAUGGUAAUGGAUCCAAUCUCUCCUAAAAUUGCAGUUGCAGCUUUUUUUUUUUUUUUUCUGAGAAAGAGUGUUGCUCUGUUGUCCAGGCUGGAGUGCAGUGGCACAAACAUAGCUUGACCUCCUGGGCUCAAGCAAUCCUCCUGCCUCAAUCUCCCAAGCAGCUGGGACCACAGGAGCAUGCCACCACGCCUGGCUAUUUAUUUUAUUUUAUUUUUUGUAGAGGCAGGAUCUCGCCACAUUGCCCAGGCUGGUCUCGAACUCCUAGGCUUAAGCAAUUAUUUUGCCUUGGCCUUCCAAAGUGCUGGAAUUUCAGGCAUGAGCCACCAUGUCCAGCCAGCAUAUUUUUAAUUGCAAGCUCAAAAACCAAUGAAGAAGAUUGAGAGGGCCCUAAUGAUUUUUAAAAUCUGACUUUUGCAACUUAUCACACUGCUAUGAACAGUUUAAAUUGAUAGUUGUUUACUCUUAGUGAGAAAAAAUAUCAAUAGAUAUUUAGAUAGAUGAUAGAAAACAUAAAUAGAUGAUAGAUAGAUAGACAACCAUGACUUUUAUUCAUCUCUAGAGUAUCAUAAACUGUUGCACAAAUCACAUGUGUGCAUGAACUUGAUUAAAUUCAGUUGUUUUGGCCAAAGCAGACAAACUGAAAGGAUUAAACCUCUUCUGAUUUAUUGCUGCCUGUUUGGCCAUCCCUUAGCUGUGGUUUUUAAAAAUAUUGUUUUUGUGCUUCUGAUACCUUUUAAUGAUAUCUCGGGCCAAUUCUACCCCCAAAUGUGGGUGAACCAUACUCACUGAUCUUUGACUUUUUUCUAGUUGAGUAGCAUUCACAGACACAUAGUUUCUUCUUAGAAAGAAGGAAAGAAGCCCAUCAUAUUCUAUUGUCCUGCUUGAUACUGUCUUAUCAUUGACUCAGAGGCCCUACUGAGCAUGAGACAAAGAAACCAGCCAUAAUUCCUUCCUCUUAUGGGUGUUUUAAGCUCCUUCUGCCCAUAUGUGAUAGAAAGAAAGCAUGCUUACAACUGUAAUCCCAGCGCUUUGGAAGGCUGAGAUGGGUUGAUCACCUGAGAUCAGGAAUUUGAGAACAGCCCUGACCAACAUGGCGAAACCCUGUCUCUACUAAAAAUACAAAAUUAGUCUGGUGUGGUGGUGCAUGCCUGUAAUCCCAGCUACUCAGGGGGCUGAGGCAGGAGAAUUGCUUGAACCCAGGAGGCAGAGAUUACAGUGAGCCUAGAUCGUGCCAUUGCACUCCAGGCUGGACAACAAGAGCAAAACCCCGUCUCAAAAAAAAAAAAAAAAGAAAAAAGAGAAAAGAAAGAAAGCUUGCUACCUCUACCUGUUUACUCAACUGCCUUUGUGUGUACCAGCCUCUGCUUGCAUUACCUGGGAAGAAAAUAUUCCUGCCUGUUGCAAAUGGAAUAAACUGUGAGAUCAACUUUUCCAAAUACUUUCCAAAGCCUUACUUUUUCUUGCAUGAGACCAGAGGAGUAAAACUGGGUGGCCUAAUGCCCGUCUCCCUAUCAGUUCUCCGUUCUCUCUGCAAGUUUUCAGUGUAGCCUCUGUGGAAACUUCCAUCGCAGACAUCUCCCAGGGACCCCCACCCUCCUCAUCAGAAUACUCCUCCCCUGGGUGUCACUAGCUGUGGGAUUGUAAGGACCAUUAUAAUAAAGGUGACAAUGACAGAUCUCAAGGAAGUGGAGCUCCAAAGUGAGGGAGGGAGGCACAUCAGAGAGAAUGGGCUCCGCAAGCCUGAUAAUGAGCAUGGAGAGGACUUUUUCUGCUUAUGGGUGAAAAAGAC